rfam:Triticum aestivum genome assembly, contig: Triticum_aestivum_CS42_TGACv1_scaffold_515505_6BS
UUUGUACUCCCUCCGUCCCAAACUUCUUGUCUUAGAUUUGUCUAAAUACGGAUGUAUCAAGUCACAUUUUAGUAUUAGAUAUAUCCGCAUCUAGACAAAUCGAAGCCAAGUAUUUUGGGACGGAGGGAAUAUUAU